rnacentral:rRNA from 1 species
UGGGGAAUCUUGCGCAAUGGGCGAAAGCCUGACGCAGCAACGCCGCGUGAGGGAUGAAGGCCUUCGGGUUGUAAACCUCUUUCAAGCAGGGACGAUAAUGACGGUACCUGCAGAAGAAGCUCCGGCCAACUACGUGCCAGCAGCCGCGGUAAUACGUAGGGAGCGAGCGUUGUCCGGAUUCAUUGGGCGUAAAGAGCUCGUAGGCGGCUUGAUAAGUCGGAUGUGAAACCUCCAGGCUCAACCUGGAGUCGCCAUCCGAUACUGUCAUGGCUAGAGUCCGGUAGGGGCCCACGGAACUCCUGGUGUAGCGGUGAAAUGCGCAGAUAUCAGGAAGAACACCGAUGGCGAAGGCAGUGGGCUGGGCCGGUACUGACGCUGAGGAGCGAAAGCGUGGGGAGCGAACAGGAUUAGAUACCCCCGUAGUCC